CUGGGUGGUGCAAACAGUUUGUACUUGGCUGGUAACCAAGAGGCUGGUGGUUCAAACCCACCCAGCCGUG
rnacentral:tRNA from 1 species